GCGCUUGUGGUAUAAAUAGAGUAUGACGCCUUUCCAAGGCGUGGGUUCGGAUUUGGCAGGGGUC
rnacentral:tRNA from 1 species